rnacentral:rRNA from 1 species
AUGAACGCUAGCGGUGCGCCUAACACAUGCAAGUCGAGCGUGAUUAUUUUGUAGCUUGCUAUAAAAUAUGAAAGCGGCGAACGGGUGAGUAACACGUUGGUAUCUGCCUUUUGGUCAGGGAUAGCCAGGAGAAAUUCUGAUUAAUACCGGAUAGUCUCUUCGGAGUAAAGAUUUAUCGCCAAAAGAGGAACCUGCGGCCUAUCAGCUAGUUGGUGAGGUAAUAGCUCACCAAGGCUAUGACGGGUAGUUGAUCUGAGAGGAUGAUCAACCACAAUGGAACUGAGACACGGUCCAUACUCUUACGGGAGGCAGCAGUGAGGAAUCUUCCACAAUGGGGGCAACCCUGAUGGAGCGACACCGCGUGAAGGAUGAAGAUCUAACGAUUGUAAACUUCUUUUCUGAGGGAGCAUAAUGAGAGUACCUCAGGAAUAAGGGACGGCUAAAUACGU